GUGCUCGCUCGGCAGCACAUAUAACUAAGAAUUGGAACGAUACCAGAGAAGAUAAGCAUGGCCCCGCGCAAGGAGACACGCAAAAUUCGUGAAAGCGUUCCCAUAUUU